CAAAGGCCCCGCCAGGAUCCCCUCAUGAAAAUGGGAGGCUAGUUGGGAGGUGGGGGGGAGAAGAGAUGACAGACUGGGCCAGACCUGCGUCACACAAAUGGACUGGUAAUUAACACAUUUUUCCCCCUUCCCCACACUUGUCUCUCUCCAGCCUCUGCCCACCCAACGGGGCUUUUUCGGAAACAUUAAAACCCAACUAAUAAAUGGCUUACAGCUGCUGAAAGAUGAGCCCUGUCUGGCUGAGACUCCGGCGGUCACCUGCUUCCCACCCCCCACCCCUCGCCGACACCCUCCAUUGAUCUUCCAAGGGGUCCUGCCUGAACUUUUUCCUAGACGGAGACCAGCAUUUCAACAUGGCACAGAAAUCCACAAAUGGCCCAGAUUCCAGGCAGGCACACCACGGCCCAGAGCCCAGACAGCACAGCCGCCGGGCUUAGCAACAGGGCAACCAAACUCCGGCCACAGCUUCGCUAAUAGCUCACCUGCUUUCUGUGAGCCAUAUUUCACCUGGGCUGUUUGCAUGGCACCUGGUACCCUGGAUAAGGUCACUCAUUUAGCAGCAUGUCAAAAACUGAUCUGUUGACCUAGUUCAUGCCUAGGGGGAAGGCAGUUGAGGGAGAGAGGCUGCAGAAGGGGCCAAGCGCUUGUAAGGCUGUAGCAGACCUCCCAAGUGCCCCUAUUUUCCAGGGACAGUCCAAGAUUUACAGAAGCCAUCCUGGUUUCUGAUUGGAUCCUGGAAUGUUUUCCUUAAAGAUAAAGGGACCCCUGACCAUUAGGUCCAGUCGUGGCCGACUCUGGGGUUGCAGCGCUCAUCUCGCUUUAUUGGCCGAGGGAGCCGGCGCACAGCUUCCGGGUCACGUGGCCAGCAUGACUAAGCCGCUUCUGGCGAACCAGAGCAGCACACGGAAACGCCGAGAAAGGGAGAAAAGCUUAUCUCCAUGCCACGCAUAAUUUCAUAAACGUCCACCAUGUCUCCUGUCGCUCGCCUUUUCCCUAAACGAAGAGGUCCCAGAUGCUGCAAUCCUCCUUCAUAGAGGAAUUGCUCUGUCCUCUUGACUGGGAUAGCUCAGUCAGCAGAGUCUGAGACUCUUAAUCUCACUGUUGUGGGUUCGAGAGAGCCCCACGUUGGGCAAAAGAUUCCUGCAUUGCAGAGGGUUGAACUAGAUGGCCCUCAAGGUGCCUUCAAACUCUUCAGUUCUAUGAUUUUGAUUGCCCUUGGUUGUUGUGCUCAAGUCUUGCUUCCCAUGUAGGCAUCUGAUUGGCCACUGUGAGUACAGGAUGCUGGGCCAGAUGCUUCAUUAGAGUCCUUCUGAUGCAGCUCAGGGUCCUCCUUACAUUCUUAACGUGGAUUUCGAGGCAACUCUUCUCCAUGACUUUAUGACCUUGAACCCUUCCUCCAUUCAUCAACUCAGAAGACGUAUGGAUGUUAACACAUUCCAUGUUUGUCUGAGGAAGACCCAGCAGGAGCAAAGCCAGCGAUCUGGUUUCCUUCUCCUCUUGCUGAGCUCCGUGCUCAAACGGCCCAUUUCUUGUGGGGAGGAGGAGGGGACACUCUGAUUCAGAGGCUUCCUUUUUCCAACAGGUUCUGCAUCUCUCUGUGUGUUUGUAACAUCAGCAGCCGCCCAGCCAAGCUUGUGGCAUUUGCCGAUGGGGAAAACAGGCUGAGAUCGGGAUGUUGUGCGUUGACGCCAUGGGGCUGCGCAUUGCAGAUUGUUCCACCUGGCGAGGCGAGCGGCUGAACGGGACUUCAACUCUCAAUGACCUCCUGGGAGCACAAGCAGAUCCAAAGCCACCCCCUUUCUCCCUUGUUGUAAUGCAAAGUGGGGAGUGAUAUUCCUUCAUUUGUUGCAGGCCUGUAUAAAUUGCCGCUUUCCUCGCCAGAUCUACAUGCAGGACCACCGGGCGGGGGGGGAGGAAUAUAGAUGCUUUCUAGAGGCUUUUGAAAAGCAGAGAUGGCAUUAAGUGGAGGGCUCCCCCCUCCCAUGCCCAAGCUGCCUAAGGGAUAUACAGACCCAGCUCCCAUUAAAAUUAAUAGUCCAGAUCUUCCCCUUAAUGUUCUAAAAGGUUUUCCUCCUUUCAACUGGUCUUGAGCGAGAACAUUAUAGCAGAUAAAUAGAAACUCUUUCCUCCGCUUCGGAAGAGGUAAAAUUCAGCUCCUAUUAAAAUCAAAAGAGCAACCCGCAAUUUGGGGACUGUGAGCUUAGAACAAAGGCACACGGCAAUUUCAACCCUGAUUUCGCACAUAGCCCAGGCAAACCAAAAAAACACAAAAGCAACACAAAUGUGUACACCAACCUCUGCCAAGCUGGCUGGGACUGAUGGAAAUUGUAGUCCAUAACUUCUGGAGGGCACUAGGUUGAUGAAGGCUGAAACAACCUUUGCUCAUAUUUUUAUCUUAGCUCUUUCGCUUCUACAUAUGCACAGAUGGGGUGAUCAGAUAUUGGUGGUUGGACUGUAAGCAAAGGCAUUAAAACAGAGUGGCUGCCAGAUGUCCACAGCUGCCAAAUGUAACUACUAGGGAUGUAAGAAGGCACAUUUCCCCACUCCAGCCAGUACUCUUUGCAUGCAGCACUGUUUGCAUUCCACUGCAGGCCAACUUCCACCAAAAAUGAAAUUUUUGCUGGGGCAAAAUUAUGUAACUUGCGUAAGUGACAUAAAUCACUUUGUUGCUGCAUUGUUGCACCCUGUUCAUGUCUGUGCAAAGGAAAUGCAGUGCAAAUGAGGGGUGGAUGUAAUAAAGCAUGUAUGGCUUGCAGGCUGAAAGCAGCAACAGUAGCGAAUGCGGAUUGCAUUCCCCGGAUUGAUUUCCAACACCACCCAAUUACCACUCCCCUUUCCAAUUUUGUCAGCAUUCUCCAACAUCCCUGACAAACACAUAUUGCAGACUGAAGGAGACUCAAAUAAUGUCCCUCUUCCUUGUCUUCGAAGAUAGAUGGUUCCAGGGAUGCAGCCACCAACGCCAUUCCGAUCAGUUUUCUUGAUGAUAAGAUUAACCUUAUGGAUGAUGGCACAGGGUGGGGGUGGGGACCUUUAGAAGAGAGAAUUGCACAGAAAGCCCUCCUGCCAUUUCUUUUCACAGGGCAAUCCAUCACCAAGAGCCCUUCCCAUGCUGCCUCUGCUCAGAGCUCUGGCUGGAACAAAACUUCCUUUCUCUCUGUGCCACCUGCACAAACGGGGUCCUGACCCAACCAAGCUGGAACUCUUCCUCGUCAUGUCAUCGCCGGCCUCUGCAUUUUUACAGUGCGCAGUUGGUUGCCUGAAAUCUGGCUGCUUUCUUGGCAUCGGGGCAAGAAGUCUGCAUAGUUCAGCAUCACAUUCUCUGCAUGCGUGGACCCCAAACGCACAAAACGGCUCGUGGGAGUCAAAAGCUGAGAUGGGAGCUCUCUCUACAGUUGAUGGACAAACCCCACAGGUCUGGCUAUGCCUGCAAAACAAACUUGGUAGGGGCGCAUGUCAUGGAGAAGGUGAAUAGAUUUAGGAAAGAUUUUCUCCCUCUCUAGAAGUCAUGGGCAUCCAGUGAAGCCGAAUGUUGGAAGAUGCAGGGCAGACAGAAAAGGAAAGGAACUCACUUUCACAAGAGGCAGUGAUGGCUAUCAACUGGAAUGGCUUUUACAGAGGGUAAGGCAAAUCAUGGAGGAUAAGAUUAUGGAUGGCUAUGUUUUGCCUCCGCAGUUGGAGGUACAGUGGUACCUCUAGUUACGGACUCGAUCUGUUCCGGGGUGCCGUUCCCACCCUGAAAAGUCCGCAACUAGAGCACCGUUUCUGCGCAUGUGUGCAGCACAAUAGAGUGCUUCUGCACAUGCACGAGGUGCACAGAGCACUUUUGCGCAUGCAUGAGACAUGCAGGGCGCUUCUGCACAUGCGCGCACAGUGAAAUCCAGAAAUAUACACUACCGGGUUUGCUGCGUUCAUAUCCUGAAAAAACGCAACCAGAGACGGACGUAACAAGAGGUACGACUGUACUAAUACUUCUGAAUACCUGUAAGUGAAGUCAGUAGUGUGAGGAGGGCUCUUGUGCUCAGGGGCCCUGCUUUUGAGGGAUCUGAGUGGCCACUGUGAGAACAGGAUGCUGGACUUAAUGGGCCACUGACCUGAUCCAGAAAGCUUCUUCUUAUGCUCUUAAUAAGGAUGAGUGCUCAGUUCAACUGGAAGCCACACUAUAUUCCAACAUUAAACAGUUUCCUGAGAAAGAGGAGUGCAGUAACAGAAAAGCCCAUCUUUGUGGUGGCAAAGUUUGAGGAGUGCAUUUCUGGCAUUAAGGACUUUCUGGAAGCCUCUUUGAAAUCAGCUACUUGGCAUGAUUUGCCUCUCUUCCUCUCAACAGCAUCUCAUCACGUACUGCCUGAGGAUAUAUAAACCGUUCACCCAUAGCUUUAAAAGCUGACAUCUUCCUGUACUGCACAUUCAGGGAGCCUGUGAAUUUCAAGCUGGGCUGUGGAGGAAUGAUUUGGCUCAGAAAAUGGAAUUAAAGAUGGAUUAUGUGAGGGGGAGAAAUGAGCAGGCAAGUUACUGCCUCGCUUUUUCCCUGGAGUAGGUUUUGCCUCACCAUACUGACAUUUAAAGCACUCUUAUACUGCUUCAACAGACAUGGUAUUCCCCACAGCAUCCUAGGAAAUGCAGUUCGUUCAGGGUGCUAUGCAAUAUUAUGAGACCCCAUUCCUCUCCACCCCACCCCCCAAGCUACAAUGCUUAAAAUUCCCUGGGAAGAGGGAUGGAUGGUUAAACCACUCUGAGAAUCGUAGCUCCAUGAGGAGAAUAGGGGUCUCUGCACGAACUACAUUUCCCAGAAUGCUUUGGAGGGGGACCAUGACUGUUUAAAGUGGUAUCAUACUACUCUCUAACAUGCUGCACAGGAAAAUUGAGACACAUGUAUUUUGGGGCCAGGAACCAACACAGGACAUCCUGGGAUUCAGGAUGGCUUCUGUAAUUCCGGGAUGUCCCACUUAAAACGGGACAGUUGAGAGGUAUGUGUCAUAGUGCUUUAAAGGUAUUAUGUGAAUGUAGCUUAGGACUGCAGCCUAGGAGGACUUAUGGAAGUGCUGGUCCUGAUCUGAGUACCUCUUUUAACACUGUGCCCCCCCCCUGCUUUUGCAGUAGUAAAAAGGUAAAGGUACCCCUGCCCGUACGGGCCAGUCUUGACAGACUCUAGGGUUGUGCGCUCAUCUCACUCUAGAGGCUGGGAGCCAGCGCUGUCCACAGACACUUCCGGGUCACGUGGCCAGCGUGGCGAAGCUGCUCUGGCGAACCGGCACCAGAGCAGCACACGGAACGCCAUUUACCUUCCCACUAUAAAGCGGUACCUAUUUAUCUACUUGCACUUAAGGGUGCUUUCGAACUGCUAGGUUGGCAGGAGCAGGGAUCGAGCAACGGGAGCUCACCCCGCCGCGGGGAUUCGAACCGCCAACCAUGCGAUCGGCAAGUCCUAGGCGCUGAGGUUUUACCCACAGCGACACCCGCGUCCCUUUUUGCAGUAGUAGUGUGGAGCAAAAGAGCCUUACUUAUAAGUUUAAGGUGACUAUGUGUGCCCCAUCCGUACCAUACAUCCAACAACUCACCAUAGGCAUAGACAUUCAAAGAAUGACCUGCCGUCUCUUAUCUCUCAUUAGUUUAGCCUGCUGCACCCAAUCACAACCGACCCAUUGCUUUGAACAGUAAAGAUUGUCCCCUGUGGGUGAAAACGUGGCAGGGGGGUUGCUGGGGGGCAAUGCUGACUGGGAAAAUGCCAAGAAGGGAAAUCUUGACGUGUCCCCAUCCUCAGUGCUGCUUCUAUGCUCGUGAACUCACCUGCCAAGGCUGCUUAUUUGCAUCCCAGUGCCGCAUCUGCUAACCACAGUCCUGCCUCCCACAUUUCUAAACCACAGAGCCUAGGGCUUGCAAUUCGAAUCCCCGCAACGGGGUGAGCUCCCGUUGCUCCCUGCUCCUGCCAACCUAGCAGUUUGAAACACUUCAAAGUGCAAGUAGAUAAAUAGGUACCACUCCAGCGGGAAGGUAAACGGCGUUUCCAUGCGCUACUCUGGUUCGCCAGAAGCAGCUUAGUCAUGCUGGCCACAUGACCCGGAAGCUGUGCACCGGCUCCCUUGGCCAAUAAAGCAAAACGAGCGCCGCAACCCCAGAGUUGUCCAUGACUGGACCUAACAGUCAGGUGUCCCUUUACCUUUUUAUUCCAUAUCCUCUAGCGAAAAUAGAAACGUCCUAAGGAAUGAAGACCAUCCCAGAAUCAAAUCAGAAAUUGGGAUGGCUUCUGCAGAUCCAGGACUGUCUACCUGGAACACACGAGUAGUUGAAGGGUCUGUAAUGCUGUAUUUUGCAUAAUUUUGUAUCACACACACACGAAAAAAGGUUAGACCUCCCAUUAAUUUCCACCUCCAACCUCCGUCUCACCCUCCUCUCUUCCAUCAUCCAGCAUCGGGUUCUGAGCAGCUGUUUCCGAGCGGCACAGAUUGUGCUUGAAGUGAUACGUCAAAACACCAUUAGCAAGGCCUGCCUGCUCUUCUCAGCCUCCCUGCUCUCCCAGCCAGGACAGUCUGGCGCUGAGACACCCGGCCUGGUGCUUUGAAGAGCCCAGUUUGUGCUGCACUCAGACAGCUGGGCCUUGCCAGAAACUGCCCUGCCCUCCCUCCCGAACCUUGGGGCUAAACUGGCGUUUUAAAAUAGAGCUCUGCUCAAUGACGGGGGUGACAACUGUGCAAUUAUUUCCAACACUUGUUUACCGACUUGCUUGGGAAGUUGAACUUCCAUCUGGUGCAAGCAAAUGCAGUGGAGCGUUGACACGGCUGGCAAGAAGAAACUAUCUGAAGAACUAUCUGAAGAACUAUCUGAAGAAGUGUGCACGCACACGAACGCUUAUACCUAAAACUACUCAGUUGGUCUCUAAGGGGCUACUUUUUUAUUUUGCAAUUCUUCUGGGGGGAUUCUUUUAAAGACUGUCUUAGAUUAUAUAACUUUUUUGAAGUCUUGAUUUUUUAAGGGAGUUUUUAUCUUAUUAAGAAGAGCCUUUUAAACUAUCUUUUUAAAGAAUUG